rnacentral:tRNA from 1 species
UGCGGGUAGAGUGGUGGAUUGUCCUAGGAGUGAUUUGAAGUCAUUUCUCUCUUCCGGUGGGAAGAUGCCUGCU